GACGAACGCUGGCGGCGUGCCUAAUACAUGCAAGUAGAACGCUGAAGAGAGGAGCUUGCUCUUCUUGGAUGAGUUGCGAACGGGUGAGUAACGCGUAGGUAACCUGCCUUGUAGCGGGGGAUAACUAUUGGAAACGAUAGCUAAUACCGCAUAACAAUGGAUGACACAUGUCAUUUAUUUGAAAGGGGCAAUUGCUCCACUACAAGAUGGACCUGCGUUGUAUUAGCUAGUAGGUGAGGUAACGGCUCACCUAGGCGACGAUACAUAGCCGACCUGAGAGGGUGAUCGGCCACACUGGGACUGAGACACGGCCCAGACUCCUACGGGAGGCAGCAGUAGGGAAUCUUCGGCAAUGGGGGCAACCCUGACCGAGCAACGCCGCGUGAGUGAAGAAGGUUUUCGGAUCGUAAAGCUCUGUUGUAAGUCAAGAACGAGUGUGAGAGUGGAAAGUUCACACUGUGACGGUAGCUUACCAGAAAGGGACGGCUAACUACGUGCCAGCAGCCGCGGUAAUACGUAGGUCCCGAGCGUUGUCCGGAUUUAUUGGGCGUAAAGCGAGCGCAGGCGGUUUGAUAAGUCUGAAGUUAAAGGCUGUGGCUCAACCAUAGUUCGCUUUGGAAACUGUCAAACUUGAGUGCAGAAGGGGAGAGUGGAAUUCCAUGUGUAGCGGUGAAAUGCGUAGAUAUAUGGAGGAACACCGGUGGCGAAAGCGGCUCUCUGGUCUGUAACUGACGCUGAGGCUCGAAAGCGUGGGGAGCGAACAGGAUUAGAUACCCUGGUAGUCCACGCCGUAAACGAUGAGUGCUAGGUGUUGGAUCCUUUCCGGGAUUCAGUGCCGCAGCUAACGCAUUAAGCACUCCGCCUGGGGAGUACGACCGCAAGGUUGAAACUCAAAGGAAUUGACGGGGGCCCGCACAAGCGGUGGAGCAUGUGGUUUAAUUCGAAGCAACGCGAAGAACCUUACCAGGUCUUGACAUCCCGAUGCUAUUUCUAGAGAUAGAAAGUUACUUCGGUACAUCGGUGACAGGUGGUGCAUGGUUGUCGUCAGCUCGUGUCGUGAGAUGUUGGGUUAAGUCCCGCAACGAGCGCAACCCCUAUUGUUAGUUGCCAUCAUUCAGUUGGGCACUCUAGCGAGACUGCCGGUAAUAAACCGGAGGAAGGUGGGGACGACGUCAAAUCAUCAUGCCCCUUAUGACCUGGGCUACACACGUGCUACAAUGGUUGGUACAACGAGUUGCGAGUCGGUGACGGCAAGCUAAUCUCUUAAAGCCAAUCUCAGUUCGGAUUGUAGGCUGCAACUCGCCUACAUGAAGUCGGAAUCGCUAGUAAUCGCGGAUCAGCACGCCGCGGUGAAUACGUUCCCGGGCCU
rnacentral:rRNA from 1 species